ensembl:snRNA Gm25177 predicted gene, 25177
AGCUUCGUGCAGUGGCAGUAUCAUAGCCCGUGAGGUUUAUCCGAGGCACGAUUAUUGCUAAUUAAAAACUGAGUAGCUCAGUUCCCUAAAAUUAAAAAUUGUUCUAGCUCCAUGUUA